CUGGUGGCCUGCUCAGGGACAGCCAUGGGGACCUGGCAGCUCAAAACAGAUGGCAGCAGAACAAAAGAAACUUUUGCUUUGGAAGCACAGCCAAACUCCCCAGGGCAUCGUCAUAGAUGGCACCUAGAGCAUGGGCUGCCUCAGUCAGGGGGACGUGCCUGUGUUGUCCAGAGAGCCCAGCCAGGGACGAAAAAGGAGAUGAGGCCCCUUUCCUCCAUGUCCCCAUGCCCAGACACAUACCUUGGCCGUAAUUUCUUUUAGAAUCCCUUUGGGAAGGAAAUACAGGAUUGAGGGAUUUUGGAGUUUCUGGUAAACUCACCCUCCCUCCAGCCCCGCUAUGAGGAGGAAAGUAGAGAUGAAAGACUCACGCUGUUCAUGGACUUGGAGAGGAUUAUCUUUGAGCCAAGAUUUGGACAGGAGUGAAGUCGGUCCUUAAGAAUUUGUGGCGCGACCGGAGCUGGGCUCCUGACAGGUGGGCUUGUGUUGUGUCCCCUCUGAUGGCACCAAAGUCCAGGGAAGGGGGCUCUUGAUGUCUGCUGGGGGAGUGGGGGCAGCUCAGGAUGAAUGCAGUGCCCUGUCCUGGCUACUCACCUGAGGGUGUAGCUCGCAAAGGUGGGAAUCUGGUGCUGGCUUUUCCUUCAGGCAGGAUCACUCUGACUUGUUGAGUAAUCAGUCAUCAGGUUGGCCUGGUCAGACACACUGGACCCCACCUUCCAAACCCUGGACCCCCCCAUGCUCUGCCUUUGUAUAAGUUCCCACCCCACUGAAUCAUUGCUGCCAUGCUCUGUACAAGUUUGUAAGUUUCUGAAAAGCCCCUGACAUCUCCAUGCUGAUGCAAGUGAGACCCCUUCUGCCUAAUGUGAGCGGUUGGCGUCCUCCACUUGGCCUCUGCUGGGCGCCUCAGUCGCUCAAUGAUGUGCUCUGUGCCGGGGCUUCCAAGCACCCUUCCUGCUAACAGAGGGCGGCCCAGUGGAGCCUCCGCUGGGCAGAACUGAUGGGCAAGGCGUAAUGGCUGGUAGCUUUCAGAAUGUGAGGGAAAGGAAGAAUUCCGCUUCAUGGGGACUAGAGUUAGUGUGGGGCCUUUAAGUCUGGGAAGUUACAUUCUGCUUCUUUCUCAAUUGCUACACAAAUGUGCAGCCAGCCUUUUUUCUUAGGCCCACUGAGAUCCCUGCUCAGUGCGUCUCAAUUGUAUCUCCAGUCUAAGAGGAGGGUGGGGGGCACCCGGGGCCUCCUCCACUCCUUAGGUGGCCCCCAAGCACAUCUGCCAGGUAGAGUACCAUGGGGAGGCCUCUGCCCUGAGCAUCAUCACAGGGGCGCCUCCAGACCUGGCUGAGAAUAGCCUCUGCUUGGGCCUAGGAAGAAGGGCAGAAGUCCAAAGGAAACCUUGGUGAGUGAGUGUGUGUGUGUGUGUGUGUGUGUGUGUGUGUGUGUGUGUGUGUGUGUAUGAGCCUGUGCAUUUCUUUUAAGCAAGGGCAGUUUCCUGCAGUAGGAGGGCAGAUGACUGGCAUCCUUGCUGUAAGGAAGAGCUUUUUCCUUGUGAAUGGGCCUCUUGGCUGUACCCUAGGGUGUGGGAAUUUGCUAGAGUUCCCUGACCUGCAAUCCCUGGGCCAGUGCCGCCCUCUCCUGGGCUCUUCCAGGAGCAUUGAACACUGAGGAUGUCAAUGCAAGUAUCUGACCAACAGGGGGAGCCUGCAGGCCGAGCAAAGUUUAACCCACUUAGCCACUGCUACUUAAGCAAGGAAGCUGAAAGGUAACCUUAGCCCUGCCUUGUGUUCCAAAAGCUGCAAGGAUCAUUUGCUGGCUGUCCCUAAGUUCAAGGCCUCCCUACCUUCCCCUUCUUUUCCAAGUCACAACCCGCCCUGCCCGGGCCAGACAGCCCAGAAGAACACUUUUCUGCCAUUUAAAAAUCCCUCUUUCAUCCCCCCCAGUCCAGUAUUGAGUGGAAGUGCGCCGGAGUUCCACUGACAGGGCAGCUGCUCUUGGAGCAAACAAGCCCACACUCCAGUUGUUUAGGGCAUUAUCUGAAGAGUCAGUGACCCCUGAAUGUGUACUGGCUCCCAGGCCUCCUCAGACUUGGCCCAGGUCUAGUCAGUGAUCCUGGAGAGGAAACUGGGGAGGGGGCUUCCAACUGCCCUGCAUGGAAGAGGAGAGGAAGGUGCCCCUGUGUGGGCUGGAAGCCUGCGGAGGUUUUGCCAUUGCUGAUCUUGAUAGAAUCCUAAACCGAUUUAUAGCUGAUAACAGUUCCAUGGGGAGAGAAAUCCUAAGUUAUGAUUAAUGUUUUUCCCCGCUAUAAUAUCUUGCCUGUUUUUUUGGAUUAUUUUCCCCAUUGUGAUCCUAAGCUCUUAAAAAACUUGAGGGAAAACAUUCAUCUAAUUUACUAAAAGAGAAAGCUUUCCAUUGAAAGGUAGAUACUUUGAGGAGUAAAAAGACUUCUUUGAAUGCUGGUAAACACCGCAUUUAUUUUGUGUAUGCAGUUUGAUUUGCACAUGUAUAAAUGGAGAUGCUUUUCAUUUUUGUUUGGACUGGGUUUGUGUCACUGCUCAUUACAGUUUGCUUUUUUGUGUGUUUGCUGUGCGUUUGGAGAUAUUAGUCAGUUUCUUUAGUGAUAUUUGUUUCCUUGAUGUGCCUUUUCGUUUUUCUUUGGGGUUUUUGGAAUCCGGAUGCUGUUGAAGGGCAAUAGCAGACUCCUCCAGCUAAGAGACAGGACAUGUUCUUGAGCCACUGUAGCUGUUGAAGCUGGACACCAGACGCUCCCUAUAACCCCCCCGCCAGGCCAUAGCGUGUAUGCAUGUGCACUUCCACCCACAGAGGAGGGUGUGAAGCCUUGAGAACCUCAAGAAAGGGCUGGAUUCUGCCAUACCUUUGGGUCUACCUUGGGACUGCUGGUUGCCAACGUGUCAACCAGCCUGUGUUCCCUGCCACCCACGCACUUGCUGAGGUGUGGCUGAGGCAGAAUCAUGUGAAUGGGUGCAUCCAAGGAGUUCAGGGCCCUGCUUGGAGAAGAAAUACUUUAGCAUCAUGAAAGGGAAAGAACGUGCACCCCUUUUUUGUUUCUUUAGUGAAUGCAAGAUUUAAUAAAAGUGAAUAAUGAGCUUCCCCUUUGGGAGUGGAGCCCAGUGCAGCUCACUGACAGGGUUGACAUCAGUAUGAUGUGUUGGACUGAAACUGUAUGUCUGUAGGUAGGUGUGUGCCUUUUAGGGCAGACCACGGUGGCCACCCCAUUUCUCCAAGGUGGUUUACCUAGCUUGUGUAUAUUAGACAUUGCCACCCUCACCUCUGGCCAAAAAUUCUUGAUUUAAAAAGAAAAGUCUAUUUUGUUAACGACAGGCUCUGUUGUAUGUGUUACUAUCCCAAGCCUGGAUUAUUUUAUUUAUUUAAAAGUAUUUUAAUUUCCAUAUUGGCUUUAUUCUAAUCCCAUCCAUCCCUGUGGAGCUGCAGAGCAUCUUCAUGUGAGUAGACGGAUGGACAUAAAUAGAUUCAUGCUCAUUUAGGAAGCUGGGAGUUUCGUGAAGCUGAGGGUGAGUUCCUGUGAUUCUUGUUCGCUUCAACAAAAAGUGGGAGACCAAGUUUUUAUAGCAAAAGACCAAAUUAGCUGUAGAGUCUUGAAUGCAGAAAAAAAUUACCCUAGCUUUCUUAGCACUUAGGGUUUUGUGAGGAUUCAGUGUUUAGCACAGUGCUUGGCACAUAGUAAGCCCUAGUAAAUGUUAAAUAUUGUUAUUAGUGUUUCGUAAAACUUGAGAAAUAGAGCUGAGCUCAUUCCCUUCCUGUUGAUUCAAAAAUAAUACCUACAUGAAAACAUGAUUCCAAGUUGAUUGAAUGUUGUAGGAAUUACUGGUUUAGAGUAGCCCAGUUCUCGGCCUACCCUGCUGGUUGGGAUCUUACUGUAUUCUUGAAUGCACUGGUUUGAAAAUAUGCCAGACUUCAGCCCCCAAGGAAACAAGGCUGCAAGAAUUUAUGAACUCCAGCUGGAAAAGGUAAAGGUGACCUUUGGCUAGCCACAUACUGGACCUUACCCCACUGACGUCUUUCAGAACAUUCCAAGGGUUUUCCUCAAGGAACAUUUUUGAGCUAGAAAUUAAAAUGGGUUCUCUGGCAGACUGCACCCCUUGAGUCAAAGUUAACAGUAUUCCUUUGAAUGCAAUAAUAGAGGCUUUUCUGCGUUAAGGGAGAAGGAAUGACCAAUUGAACUUACACAUUCCCCAGGCAGGUCCCUUUGCCGGCCCCUACAGGCUGGGGUGGCCCCUCCUGUCCUCAGGGAUCAGACUCCCAGACUGGUUAGUUCUGCAUGUUUCCAUCAAAUUAAAGGUUAUUCCCUGGCCGCCUCCUGGAGAAAACCAACCCCACCCUGCCAGCUGGGGGCAAUGGGGCAGGGAUUUUGGCCUCUCAGAACAGCUCCUAGAGGCUGCUCAUGACUGAAUGUUUUCCCAAAUCACCUAAAUAUCGGUUUGCUUUUUGUUUUGGGGGAGAGGAUUUAGCCUCUUACUUCCCUGAUGGAUUCAAAGUUUUAUCUAUCUCCUUAUCUCCUGCCCUGUCUUGGCACAACUCUGGAUAGAUUGCAGGUGUGGAAUUUGCUGGAGUUUGGUGACUUCGUCAAAUUCCUUUGGAUUCUGUUCCGCCAAAUCAGCAGUCUCGUCCUGUGGAUGCAGUGACUGGAAUUUCCCAUCUGCAAAGCAUCUCUGUAGCCCAGAUUUUGUGGAGCCUUAAGACACUCCCUCAAUGCCACCCUGACCCCACGGCUGGAGAACCCUGUGCUUAUGUGGUGGGCAGGGCCACUGUUGAUGGAGGAUGGCGGGGACGGGGUGGUGCUCAAAGGAUCUGUGGUGCUGGAGGUCUACACGCCUCUCAGGACAGCGUGUCAGGAACCUCAGAGCAGCUUCACAUCUGCCAAAGCUGAGAGGGAGCGAACUUGGGAAGCAUUUUGCUCAUUGUCCUACCCAAGUAUUAAUAGCAUAAUAGUUGAUGCCAAAGGAGAUGGUGACGUCCCUUCCACUGUAGUUGCUGUCACAACCUUGACGUCUUUAAGCUAAUGGCCGUUUGCAUCUGUGUCUUCAAACAGAUCCUGGUUACAGCCAUUUUGUGUGAUUCACUUCGGGGGUUAAGUAAUGCAGGAUUCUGCAAACAAGGUGUCGCCGUCCAAAUGUACUGUCCUGGCAUAGAGAGCACUGCUUUGUUUUCCACUGUUGUAGAGAAAACUAGGGAGAACUUUAUUUUUCAAUAAACUUUUCUUGUGUGA
rnacentral:lncRNA from 1 species